rnacentral:rRNA from 1 species
CGCGAAACCUUUACACUGCAYGAGAGUSCGAUAAGKGGACUCCCAGUGUKAGGGCAUACAGUCCUCGCUUUUCKGGACSGUAGGGAGGUCCAGGAACAAGUGCUGGGCAAKACCGGUGYCAGCCGCCGCGGUAAUACCKGCAGCACGAGUGAUGGCCGAUAUUAUUGKGCCUAAAGCGUCCGUAGCCGGCCAGACAAGUCCGUUGGGAAAUCCACGUGCUCAACACGUGGGCGUCCAGCGGAAACUGUCUGGCUUGGGGCCGGAAGACCCAAGGGGUACGUCCGGGGUAGGWGUGAAAUCCCGUAAUCCUGGACGGACCGCCGAUGGCGAAAGCACCUUGGGAGGACGGACCCGACGGUGAGGGACGAAAGCCAGGGUCUCGAACCGGAUUAGAUACCCGGGUAGUCCUGGCCGUAAACGAUGUCCGCUAGGUGUGGCGCAGGCUAYGAGCCUGCGCUGUGCYGUAGGGAAGCCGUGAAGCGGACCGCCUGGGAAGUACGUCUGCAAAGAUGAAACUUAAAGGAAUUGGCGGGGGAKCACUMCAACCGGAGGAGCCUGCGGUUUAAUUGGA